rnacentral:rRNA from 1 species
UACGUAGGGGGCAAGCGUUGUCCGGAAUCAUUGGGCGUAAAGCGCGUGUAGGCGGCCAGAUAAGUCCGCUGUGAAAACUCGAGGCUCAACUUCGAGCUGUCGGUGGAAACUAUCUGGCUAGAGUCCGGAAGAGGAGAGUGGAAUUCCUGGUGUAGCGGUGAAAUGCGCAGAUAUCAGGAAGAACACCCGUGGCGAAGGCGGCUCUCUGGGACGGUACUGACGCUGAGACGCGAAAGCGUGGGGAGCGAACAG